rnacentral:lncRNA from 1 species
AGAGCAUUCCCAGAAGCGGGGCCAGGGCAGUGCGCACAGUGAGGAGAGCAGGUGUGUGUGAGUUGAGGAAACUGGGCCCUGAGACAUUAACUUGCCCAAAAGAUCACAGUGGGCAACAUUCUAGAGCACAGUGGAAGCCGACAGCAAUGUCAGUGAAGAUGGAAAACAGAACGUGGAGAGAGAUGUAGCUUACUAGAGCCCUGUGGCUUCAAUCCCCACCAGGAAUGUCGUUUAAGAGGAAGAGAAGCAGCCUCGGGGAGCGGGCGGGGCUGGGGAAUCCCUGGCCUCCCUCCUUUCCUUCUGGCUGAUCUUCUGCAGAAGACCUCACAAAAGGGAGCUGAGGGGCCAGGAAGCCUGUGGAUGCCCUGAAGAAGAAUGAGUAGAUCUGAAAGGGCAGUAGAACAGAACCAGAAUCCAGUGCAAAGGCCCUGGGGCAGGAGUUCGCAGGAGAAGCGGGGAGAAGGAACCAGCCUAUGAUCCAGGAAUGCAGUGAACAAGAUUUGGGAAGUUGACAGAGAAUAUGAGGCCUCCUCUCCAAACAGAAACUCCAGGACGCUUGGUUGAGUCACUGACACAUGCACAGUGCUGAGCAUAGUACCAGACACCAGAGUCUGUGUUCCAGAAAUGGAAGAAUAGGACAUAUCACACACCAACCGUGUGCAAAGCACUCUACCUAAAGAUCAGCGCUAACAGAGGAAUAAGCAGAGGCCUCCAGGAGCAAAGAGUGAAAAGUCUCCCAAGGAUUCAAGUACGGGGGAAGUGGGUGGAGCUUUCACCGUAGAAUCUUUCCUGGAGAAAAAGCAAAGAGUGGGACAACAAUGAAGGCAUUAAAAAUAACUGUCAAGUUGAAGAAAAAGUAUUUUGCCAAAGACUAAGGAUUCGGAGAUGACUACGGAAAGGAAAACUAAGCUCCAUGAGAAGAGGGGACUUGCCCAUGUGGCUCAGGGCUCUAUGCCCAGUGCCCUAGACAGUGCCUGACUGUGUGUGCGGAAUGAAUGAAUAACCUUGGUGAUCCACCCAAUGGCACUGGCGCUCAGUGACCUCAUCUGAAAUGGAAUAAGGAUUUUAUGAAAAUGCAUGUUUGUUGAAUAACACAAAGGAGAAUAUUAUCUAAUGUGGCUUGGGGUCAAUAUCAAGCAGUAAUAUUGUUUUAGUAUUAAUUAGAGCCGUGUCAUUGCAAGAGCUGGUAAGAAUACUGGUCUUGUUUCCAACUGAUGAAAACACUCAUACAGAUUAGGGUUUUUAUGAGUAAAUUUCAGAUCUUGAAAUCAGUGCUGUGAUCCACUCUCAUAGGGUGAAUAUCUGUCCAAAUGGUAUAUCAGAAAGGAAAAAAGCCAAUGUCAUUACAUAGAAGUGUUAAACAAUGAUCUCUAAAGAAAAGUUUCAUUCUUAAAAAGCAUUUGAACUUCAAAGCCCAACAAUGACAUAGAUUCACAUAUCCCAAAGGUUAAGAAAAUUCCUCUCAUCUAAAAACAAUGCAAAACCUACAAAAUCACUUCAAAUUCUGCUACCAUCAAGAUUUGCAUAGUUUUUUGAAAACUAAAAUAACAUAUUCAGAAAAAUGAACAAGUCCUAAGUGAAAUACUUAGUGAAUUAUCAUAAAGUGAGCCCAGCUAUAUAGUCAUCACACAGGUUAAAAUUAAAAUUAAGGCUGGGCGUGGUGGCUCACACCUGUAAUCCUGGCACUUUGGGAGGCCGAGGAGGGCAGAUCACCUGAGGUCAGGAGUUCGAGACCAGCCUGGCCAACAUGGCGAAACCCCAUCUCUACUAAAAAUACAAAAAUUAGCUGGGUGUGGUGGCACACGCCUGUAAUCCCAGCUACUUGGGAGGCUGAGGCAGGAGAAUCGCUUGAACCUGGGGAUGGAGCAGAGGUUUCAGUGAGCAAAGAUUGUGCCACUGCGCUCCAGCCUGGGAGACAGAUUGAGACUCCAUCUCAAAAAAAAAAAAACAAAAACAAACAAACAAAAAUUAAAAUUAAAUUAUUAGCAGCAUCCCAAAGUCUUCCUUGGGGCCUGCCCCAGUCUCUGUUCUACCCUCCCUACCAGAGUUAACCACCAUCUGAAUUGGUAAGAGCCUACAUUAAUUUUUGCCUGUUUUUGAACUUGGUAUAAUUGGAAUCCUAUAGUAUGUAUUAUUUUGUGUAUGUCUUCUUUUGCUCAAUACUGAGAGUAAUUUCAUUUUCAUCACUCUAUAGUACUUCACUAUAUAAACGUGCCACUAUUCUUUUUUUUUUUUUAAGACAGAGUCUUGCUCUGUUGCCCAGUCUGGAGUGCAGUGGCAUGAUCUUGGCUCACUGGAACAUUCGCCUCCAGGGUUCAAGCGAUCCUCCUACCUCAGCCUCCCUAGUAGGUGGGGCUACAAGCAUGCUAAUUACUACCUAAUUACUACCAAGCCCAGCUAUUUUGUAUUUUUAGUAGAGAUGGGGGUUCGCCACAUUGGCCAGGCUGGUCUUGAGCUCCUGGCCUCAAGUAAUCUGCCUGCCUUGGCCUCCCAAAGUGCUGGGAUUACAGGCGUGAGCCACCACACCCAGCCCCACUAUUCUCAUUUUAGUGUUCAUGAACAUUUCAUAGUUUCCUGUCUGGUGCUAUUAUAAAUAACGCUGAUGUGAGCACUCUAGUACUAGUCUUUUGUUUCCACCUACAUGCAUUUCUCUUGGGUGUAUUGCUAGGGGUA